rnacentral:rRNA from 1 species
ACUCCUACGGGAGGCAGCAGUGGGGAAUAUUGGACAAUGGGGGGAACCCUGAUCCAGCCAUGCCGCGUGUGUGAAGAAGGCCUUUUGGUUGUAAAGCACUUUAAGCGAGGAGGAGGCUACCGAGAUUAAUACUCUUGGAUAGUGGACGUUACUCGCAGAAUAAGCACCGGCUAACUCUGUGCCAGCAGCCGCGGUAAUACAGAGGGUGCAAGCGUUAAUCGGAUUUACUGGGCGUAAAGCGCGCGUAGGUGGCCAAUUAAGUCAAAUGUGAAAUCCCCGAGCUUAACUUGGGAAUUGCAUUCGAUACUGGUUGGCUAGAGUAUGGGAGAGGAUGGUAGAAUUCCAGGUGUAGCGGUGAAAUGCGUAGAGAUCUGGAGGAAUACCGAUGGCGAAGGCAGCCAUCUGGCCUAAUACUGACACUGAGGUGCGAAAGCAUGGGGAGCAAACAGGAUUAGAUACCCUGGUAGUCCAUGCCGUAAACGAUGUCUACUAGCCGUUGGGGCCUUUGAGGCUUUAGUGGCGCAGCUAACGCGAUAAGUAGACCGCCUGGGGAGUACGGUCGCAAGACUAAAACUCAAAUGAAUUGACGGGGGCCCGCACAAGCGGUGGAGCAUGUGGUUUAAUUCGAUGCAACGCGAAGAACCUUACCUGGUCUUGACAUAGUAAGAACUUUCCAGA